UCGGGGACUCUAGAGAUUAGAGUUUGAUCCUGGCUCAGGAUGAACGCUGGCGGCAUGCCUAAGACAUGCAAGUCGAACGAAGUUAAUAUUUGAGGAGAAGUACUUGUACGGAAACGAAGAUAUCAACUUAGUGGCGAACGGGUGAGUAACACGUAGGUAACCUACCUUUAAGACGGGGACAACAGUUGGAAACGACUGCUAAUACCGGAUAGUAUAUGUUUAAGCAUUUAAAUAUAUUUAAAGGAGCGAAUGCUUCACUUAGAGAUGGGCCUGCGUUGUAUUAGCUAGUUGGUAAGGUAAGAGCUUACCAAGGCAACGAUGCAUAGCCGAGCUGAGAGGCUGAUCGGCCACACUGGAACUGAGACACGGUCCAGACUCCUACGGGAGGCAGCAGUUAGGAAUAUUGGGCAAUGGGCGAAAGCCUGACCCAGCAAUGCCGCGUGUGCGAAGAAGUUCUUCGGAAUGUAAAGCACUGUUGUAAGUGAAAAAAGGCUCAAGAGGAAAUGCUUGAGAUUUGAUGUUAACUUACUAGAAAGUCACGGCUAACUACGUGCCAGCAGCCGCGGUAAUACGUAGGUGGCAAGCGUUAUCCGGAAUUAUUGGGCGUAAAGGGUGCGUAGGCGGCAUAACAAGUCUGAUGUAAAAGGCUAUGGCUCAACCAUAGUAGGCAUCGGAAACUGUUAAGCUAGAGUGUAAGAGAGGCAAGUGGAAUUUCUUGUGUAGCGGUAAAAUGCGUAAAUAUAAGAAGGAACACCAGUGGCGAAGGCGACUUGCUGGCUUACAACUGACGCUGAGGCACGAAAGCGUAGGGAGCAAAUAGGAUUAGAUACCCUAGUAGUCCACGCCGUAAACGAUGAGUGCUAAGUGUUGGGCAGGAUACUGUUCAGUGCUGAAGUUAACGCAUUAAGCACUCCGCCUGAGGAGUACGGUCGCAAGGCUGAAACUUAAAGGAAUUGACGGGUCCCCGCACAAGCGGUGGAGCAUGUGGUUUAAUUCGAUGAUACGCGAGGAACCUUACCUGGACUUAAAUGUAAAAUGCUUUCUAUAGAGAUAUAGGAUUCUUCGGACAUUUUACAAGGUGCUGCAUGGUUGUCGUCAGCUCGUGCCGUGAGGUGUCGGGUUAAGUCCCAUAACGAGCGCAACCCACGUUGUUAGUUACCAGCACGUCAAGGUGGGGACUCUAACAAGACUGCCGGUGUAAACCGCGAGGAAGGUGUGGAUGACGUCAAAUCAGCACGGCCCUUACGUCCAGGGCUACACACGUGUUACAAUGGUCGGUACAGAGGGUCGCUACUAUGUGAAUAGAUGCUAAUCUCGAAAGCCGAUCUCAGUUCGGAUCGAAGUCUGCAACCCGACUUCGUGAAGCUGGAUUCGCUAGUAAUCGCGCAUCAGCCAUGGCGCGGUGAAUACGUUCCCGGGCCUUGUACACACCGCCCGUCAAACCAUGGAAGCCGGGGGUACCUGAAGUCUGUGACCGUAAGGAGCGGCCUAGGGUAAAUCUGGUAACUAGGGUUAAGUCGUAACAAGGCCGUAAAUCGUCGACUGCAGCAGCA
rnacentral:rRNA from 1 species